rnacentral:ncRNA from 1 species
UAUGAAACAGGGCAAAAUCACUGAAAGGUGAUGACGCAAAGCCGUGGGUCUAACGUUUUAAAUUAAUAAUUUAAAGCUAUGAUUGCCAGGCUGCCAUU